AUCUUUUUUCCUCGUGUGUGAAUUGUGUAUUGUCUGUAAUAAUACAAGUUUAGCUUUUGUUUUUGUGCUAAGGUGUUGUACGUUGUCAUGAUCGUGAUGCUACUGAGAAGGCAGUAGGUGACAGAGUCGCUGCAUGGCUAAAGCAUGCAAGGACAAGAUUCUCAAGGAGCAUUCAGAAAUCACGUUUACAUGAUGACACGUCUGCAGCAAGUGAAAGCAAGCUUACUUGAAAAUGUAAAUAUGAAAACGGUUAAAAAUUGUGCAUAUGAAUGUAUAUGUAAAUAUGUGACAAUAUAAAAAAACAAUAAAUUGCAACCUUACAACUUAA